GUAGUAUAACACUGGGACAGGGAAAUGGCCUCUGGAUUUUUUGGUGGAAGAUGGUCGGUGAUGGGUAAUAUUUUAGUGGAUUAGUUGUUUAUGAGUCGGAUAAGUAAUUGUCAAGUAUCCUCUAAAGCCAUAUUAAUAAGUUUUGAAUGUGCUUCAAACUUGUGUUUACAUGUCAAAUUUAUAUAUGCUUCUGUUGCAGGUUUAUAAAGCAGUUUUCUUGGUUGAUUGUUGUGGUACAGAGAUUCUUCAUUGUUGCAUCGCGGAAACAUUACACAGUUGACGUCAUUGUUGCAUGGUAUACUGUCAAUUUGGUAGUCUUCUUCAUUGACAAGAAAUUGCCAGGUUAGCCUGUGUAACCUUUGCAUCUGUCGUGUCUUUAUAAUAACAAUGUGCACUUUGGCUGUUUUUCAAUCUGUUUCUACCUAACUCCGUAAACAUGUUUUUGAACCACAGAGUAGUCCCAUUACUGUGUUCUUUUCUUAAUUCAACCUGGCAUGUUUGUACAAUGAUGCAGAGGCCUUGUUUAGUCAUCUGUCGUUGCAUA